rnacentral:rRNA from 1 species
UUGAACGCUGGCGGAAUGCUUUACACAUGCAAGUCGAGCGGCAGCGCGGGGCAACCUGGCGGCGAGCGGCGAACGGGUGAGUAAUAUAUCGGAACAUAUCCUGUCGUGGGGGAUAACUAAUCGAAAGGUUAGCUAAUACCGCAUACGACCUGAGGGAGAAAGCGGGGGCUCGCAAGACCUCGCGCGAUUGGAGUGGCCGAUAUCUGAUUAGCUAGAUGGUGAGGUAAAGGCUCACCAUGGCGACGAUCAGUAGCUGGUCUGAGAGGAUGAUCAGCCACACUGGGACUGAGACACGGCCCAGACUCCUACGGGAGGCAGCAGUGGGGAAUUUUGGACAAUGGGGGCAACCCUGAUCCAGCCAUUCCGCGUGAGUGAAGAAGGCCUUCGGGUUGUAAAGCUCUUUCAGCAGGAACGAAACGGUGGCUACUAAUACUAGCUACUAAUGACGGUACCUGAAGAAGAAGCACCGGCUAACUACGU